UACGGGGGGAGCAAGCGUUGUUCGGAUUUACUGGGCGUAAAGGGCGCGUAGGCGGCCACUGCAAGUCGGUUGUGAAAUCUCCGGGCUUAACUCGGAAAGGUCAACUGAUACUGUGCGACUAGAGUGCAGAAGGGGCAACUGGAAUUCUCGGUGUAGCGGUGAAAUGCGUAGAUAUCGAGAGGAACACCUGCGGCGAAGGCGGGUUGCUGGGCUGACACUGACGCUGAUGCGCGAAAGCCAGGGGAGCGAACGGG
rnacentral:rRNA from 1 species